UCAGCCUCAAGUCAGCUGCUAAAAUCAAGUGU
rnacentral:piRNA from 1 species